ensembl:lncRNA
AUCCUGACCCCUACUUAGGGAGAAGUUGACCCCCCGGUUGACCUCUGGAGAGGGACAGGUCAGCCUGUUACUAUAAAGGUCACAUGAUGAACAGCCUGCUGAGGUUGUGGACUAGUUGUCCUUUAGGUUACAGAGAGCUGGUAGUCCCAUCCACCAAACUACCAGGUGGGUGGUAUAGAGGGGAUGGACUAGUUGUCCUUUAGGUUACAGAGAGCUGGUAGUCCCAUCCACCAAACUACCAGGUGGGUGGUAUAGAGGUGAUGGACCUGCUAGUUGUCCUUUAGGUUACAGAGAGCUGGUAGUCCCAUCCACCAAACUACCAGGUGGGUGGUAUAGAGGUGAUGGACCUGCUAGUUGUCCUUUAGGUUACAGAGAGCUGGUAGUCCCAUCCACCAAACUACCAGGUGUGUGGUAUAGAGGUGAUGGACCUGCUAGUUGUCCUUUAGGUUACAGAGAGCUG